GAGAAUCUUUGUCUCCGUAAACCUAAGGUUUCCUGGGCCAGGCUCGUCCUCCCAGGGUUAGCCGGGACCUAAGGCGAGGCCGAAAGGCGUAGUCGAUGGAUAACAGGUUAAUAUUCCUGUGCUAAAGCGCAAUAUGGGACGCAUGACAGUAAGGUGACACACACUAUGAUAUGUGAGUCUAGGCUUCGGCCGAAACACGCCAUUUGAAUUUGUGCCGAGAAAACCGCGCAGGCCCGUACCGUAAACCGACACAGGUAGGUGAGUCGAAUAGACUAAGGAGCGCGAGAGAAAUCUCUCCAAGGAACUCGGCAAAUUAGCCCCGUAACUUCGGGAGAAGGGGUGCCCAUUUCGGUGGGCCACAGUAAAUUGGGACUGGCGACUGUUUACCAAAAACACAGCUCUCUGCUAAGUCGUGAAGACGACGUAUAGGGAGUGACACGUGACCAAUGCGGAAAGAUUAAGGUGACUUGUUAGCACUUGAUGCGAAGCUCGGAGCCCAAGUCCUCGUGAAUGUCGGCCGUAACUAUAACGGUCCUAAGGUAGCGAAAUUCCUUGUCGGGUAAGUUCCGACCUGCACGAAUCGUGCAACGACCGGUCCGCUGUCUCGGAGAGAAUCUCGGCGAAGUUGUAAUUGCGGUGAAGAUGCCGCAUACCCGCAGUAGGACGGAAAGACCCUGUGCACCUUUACUGUAAGCAAGUAUUGUGUUCUGAUUAGUGAUACGUAGAGUAGGUGGGAGACUUUGAAGUGAUGGCUUAGGUUGUCAUGGAGUCGCAAUGUGAAACACCACUUUUUAUUAAUUAGGAUUCUAACAAUGAUUCCUCUGAAGCGAGGCAUUGGACAGUGCUUGCGGGUCAGUUUGACUGGGGCGGUUUCCUCCCAAAGAGUAACGGAGGAGCACUAAGGUACCUUCAGCAUGGUUAGCAACCAUGCGUCGAGCGUAUGCGUAGAAGGGUGCUUGACUGUGAGACCUACAAGUCGAGCAGGUACGAAAGUAGGUGCAAAUGAUCCGGUGGUAGAAUGUGGAAUUGCCAUCGCUCAACGGACAAAAGGUACGCCAGGGAUAACAGGCUGAUCGCGCCCAAGAGUUCAUAUCGACGGCGCGGUUUGGCACCUCGAUGUCGGCUCGUCACAUCCUGGGGCUGAAGAAGGUCCCAAGGGUUCGGCUGUUCGCCGAUUAAAGUGGCACGCGAGCUGGGUUCAGAACGUCGUGAGACAGUUCGGUCCUUAUCCACUGUGGGCGCAGGAAACUUGAGGGGUUCAAUCCCCAGUACGAGAGGACCGGGAUUGACGUACCUAUGGUGUGGCAGUUGUUCCAUCAGGGGCAGCGCUGCGUAGCCAAGUACGGAAGAGAUAAGCGCUGAAAGCAUCUAAGUGCCAAGCUCAUCCCAAGAUGAGGUUUCCCACUCCUCGUGAGUGUAAGACCCCCGGUAGACUACCGGGUUGAUAGGCCAGGAGUGUAAGUGUGGUAACACAUUCAGCUGACUGGUACUAAUCGGUCGAGGGCUUGAUUAC
rnacentral:rRNA from 1 species